rnacentral:rRNA from 1 species
UGGGGAAUCUUGCGCAAUGGGCGAAAGCCUGACGCAGCAACGCCGCGUGGGGGACGAAGGCUCUCGGGUUGUAAACCCCUUUCAGGAGGGACGAAAUUGACGGUACCUCCAGAAGAAGCCCCGGCCAACUACGUGCCAGCAGCCGCGGUAACACGUAGGGGGCAAGCGUUGUCCGGAUUUAUUGGGCGUAAAGAGCUCGUAGGUGGCUCGGUAAGUCGGGUGUGAAAUUUCGAGGCUCAACCUCGAGACGCCACCUGAUACUGCUGUGGCUAGAGUCCGGUAGGGGAGCGUGGAAUUCCUGGUGUAGCGGUGAAAUGCGCAGAUAUCAGGAGGAACACCAGCGGCGAAGGCGGCGCUCUGGGCCGGUACUGACACUGAGGAGCGAAAGCGUGGGGGAUCAAACAGGAUUAGAUACCCUGGUAGUCCACGCCGUAAACGUUGGGCACUAGGUGUGGGGCUCUAUCAACGGGCUCCGUGCCGAAGCUAACGCAUUAAGUG